GACGUAGGGCGCGAGCGUUGUCCGGAUUUAUUGGGCGUAAAGAGCUCGUAGGCGGCUCGUUGCGUCGGCUGUGAAAACCCGCAGCUCAACUGUGGGCUUGCAGCUGAUACGGGCGGGCUGGGAUUCGGUAGGGGAGACUGGAAUUCCUGGUGUAGCGGUGAAAUGCGCAGAUAUCAGGAGGAACACCGGUGGCGAAGGCGGCUAUCUGGACCGACAUUGACGCUGAGGCGCGAAAGCGUGGGGAGCAAACAGG
rnacentral:rRNA from 1 species